CAAGGUAUAGGUAUGAUCGCAUACAUAUUGUCUUGAGCUUGAUGGUUAUCAAAUAAUGGUGCAUUCACAAUUUCAUGAUCUUGGUGGGUGUACAUUAAGUUUGGACAAUCGUUAUUAAAAGGAUCGCACGGUAUAGGUACGAUUAUAUCCUUAUUUUCUCGAGCAUCAUGGAUAGCAGUCGACGAGAAAACCACAAUCACCAUCUUGAUCACUUGCAACAAUUGUAGGAGAUUGAAUGAGAAGGGCUAACAUGACAAGCACAGCAAACCAGAUUGUAUUGUAGAUAAUCAUUAGAAAACGUACCAAAAACUCAGAUUAUUAUUU
rnacentral:lncRNA from 1 species